UCCAAAGAGACCUUGGACUGGUAAAUUUGGUGACCAUAAAACCUCUCUAGAUGCCCAUGGCAUUCUGUCGAGCAUCUUGUGUGCUUGACCAGAAUUGACAUAGUUUUUAGACUGCAUUGGAGACUCUCCUCCUGUGCCUUUGGGUAGUCUUGGCAUUCCGUCGAACGAUUGGCGUGCGUGCUCUGGGCGUGAGCAGAGCGUGCAUAUUGCAGCCGCUGCAUCUGAGCCCCCGCGUCCACCUACCCUGCCCUUUUGGCCCUUGCUCACCGCGUAGAGUCGCGCCCCCUCCCUUCCCUCUCCCGAGAGCUGCUGGAGCCGCCAGCGCUGCCACCACAGCUGCCAUGGCAGUCUGCCGUCGACAGCAGCUCGCCCUGCCAUGGUUGCACCACCCAAGUCACCCCCGACAACCAGCUCACCUCCACAAGCAGUACUGAGCGCGUCCGCUAGCCCCCAAUCACGCUGGUCACGCCGCGUCACCUCUCCGGCCGCUGUAGCGGCAAGACACCGUGGCCACUCUCGGGAAGCUUCACAACCGACAUAGCCGCCUAUUUAAACCCCCAAGCCUUCCCCAGUUCACCACACCGUGCUAGAGAUCCCCUAGGGACCCCCUGAUGCGACCAGUGACCGGAGGAAGCCGCAUUCCACCCUCCGGCGAGCCCGGCCGUAGUCACAAGUUGAGCAAAUUCGGCCUACCCAUGCCCUUCCCUUGGGUGUUGCUUCUCCUAGAGCUCCAAGGGAAGCCAUGGCAUCCUCCCCCGUCGCAAUAUAGAAUAGGGCAGCAAGUAGGCGGAAGCUGACGUUAGCCCUGCCAGAGCUUCUUCGGCAAGCGCUGCCGCCGGUAAGGUGCAGCUCUCCGUCGCCCCUACUUGCCUCACCGGAGCGGUCCGGAUGCCCUAAGCAUAUCCAUGUGAUUCCCUCCUCGAGGGGCGCCGCUGUUCGUCGAGGAUCGCCGCCAGCCGAGACGUCCCAUGCCCCCGCGCGGUGGUCUGGAGUCUCGACGAGGGUCAAACCUGGCAAGCGAGACCCGCCGUCAGUCACCCAACGCACUUCGAGCCGCUGUAUAUUCAAAGUACACACUGGCUUGUCCCUCGCUAUUGUCUUGGCCAGAUUGCGUGCUUGGAGAGGAGAAACUCGACGAUAAACCCGGAACCUAGGCACCGAAGACAGCAGCCCCAUGAGAAA